rnacentral:rRNA from 1 species
AAAUUGAAGAGUUUGAUCAUGGCUCAGAUUGAACGCUGGCGGCAGGCCUAACACAUGCAAGUCGAACGGUAACAGAAAGCAGCUUGCUGCUUUGCUGACGAGUGGCGGACGGGUGAGUAAUGUCUGGGAAACUGCCUGAUGGAGGGGGAUAACUACUGGAAACGGUAGCUAAUACCGCAUAACGUCGCAAGACCAAAGAGGGGGACCUUCGGGCCUCUUGCCAUCGGAUGUGCCCAGAUGGGAUUAGCUAGUAGGUGGGGUA